GCACCUGAAUCUUUCCCAUUUCCUGCUGUUCUGUGCUGGUGUGGGGACGCACGGUGCCAUAGUGUGAGCAGAGUAAAUCCAGACAGGUUGUUUUCCAUUCAUCUUGGAACCUGUCCCUACAACUCUGCGACAUUU
rnacentral:snoRNA from 13 species